rnacentral:rRNA from 1 species
AGAAUCUUUCGCAAUGGACGAAAGUCUGACGAAGCGACGCCGUGUGAAUGCAGCAGGCCUUCGGGUUGUAAAGUUCUUCCGCCUGGGAACAAGAGAUGGUAGAUAACCCCUAUCAAAUUUGAGGGUACCUGGUAAAUAAGCACCGGCUAACUCCGUGCCAGCAGCUGCGGUAAUACGGAGGGUGCAAGCAUUAAUCGGAAUUAUUGGGCGUAAAGGGCGCGUAGGCGGAUUCGUAAGUCAGAUGUGAAAUAUCGAGGCUCAACCUCGAUGCUGCAUUUGAAACUACGAAUCUAGAGGAUUGACGGAGAAAACGGAAUUCCACGUGUAGCGGUGAAAUGCGUGGAUAUGUGGAAGAACACCUGUGGCGAAAGCGGUUUUCUAGUUUAUUCCUGACGCUGAGGCGCGAGAGCAAGGGGAGCAAAC